rnacentral:snRNA from 1 species
CUCGCUUCUCAGCCUUUUGGCUAGGAUCAAGUGUAGUAUCUGUUCUUAUCAGUUUAAAGCUAUGAUAUUAGAAGAGAUCUCCAUGAUUGAGUAUACACAGACAAGAU